rnacentral:rRNA from 1 species
GAUGAACGCUGACAGAAUGCUUAACACAUGCAAGUCUACUUGAACUUCGGUUUGGGUGGCGGACGGGUGAGUAACGCGUAAAGAACUUGCCUCACAGUUAGGGACAACAUUUGGAAACGAAUGCUAAUACCUGAUAUUAUGAUUUUAGGGCAUCCUAGGAUUAUGAAAGCUAUAUGUGCUGUGAGAGAGCUUUGCGUCCCAUUAGCUAGUUGGAGAGGUAACGGCUCACCAAGGCGAUGAUGGGUAGCCGGCCUGAGAGGGUGAACGGCCACAAGGGGACUGAGACACGGCCCUUACUCCUACGUGAGGCAGCAGUGGGGAAUAUUGGACAAUGGACCAAAAGUCUGAUCCAGCAAUUCUGUGUGCACGAUGACGUUUUUCGGAAUGUAAAGUGCUUUCAGUUGGGAAGAAAAAAAUGACGGUACCAACAGAAGAAGUGACGGCUAAAUACGUG